AGCUUCUGGGUCCUAGGCGCUCAUAGUCUUCUAGAACAAUAUGCCCAACUCUCAGGAUUCUGCAGGGGCCAAUGAGUUCUGUCCACCUUCCACUCUGUAGAUUUGGUACAUAUUUGCACCUGUUCAUACUCCUGUAAAAAGACUGUGGUUAAUGACAUUCCUGCUUAUUUAAAAGCACUACUUAAUUCUUCGUAGCUUUUAAUUCCUAUGUCUUUUCUUGAGCUUGCUGACUGUUAAAAGUGCAGAGUUUGGUGCAGGAUGCACCUAGUGCAGUGUGGUAGGCUGUGGCCAGCGGUGAGUGCAGGCAUUCACUCUGGCCUACAGCUUCCUGGCUCUCAGGCAGCACAGGUCAGCUACUCCCUGUCACAGGCUCUCUAGAUGCUGCUGUGGGUCUCUCUGUAGGGCCCCAGCCCGAGGGCACCCAUCUGCACCCCUCCCCAUCCUUAGGCCUUAGGCUUCACCCUGCCCAGAUAAAUAGCCAGCUCAUGCUGUUGGUCUGGUCCUGACCUAGCUUACAAGCUCAUUCCAAACCCAGGCCCUCUGCCUCUGUUCCUGCCCAUAGAUGCUGCCCCCCAUUCCUGGCAGCCAUCUCUGCUUCUAGUUUGUGCCCUCCCCUUACCCACUUCAGAUCUCUUUUUUCUUUUCAGCCCCCUCUGGUCUCCUUACUGCACUUGCCCCUGGCCCCACUUCCUCCCUCCUGUGCCAUCUUCCAUCCAUCCUUUCUCCAUGGACACUCGCGGCCCUUCAUCUGCCUUCGCCACCCAUGCCCUUCCCACCCCCACUGAUGGCUCCUGGCCAGAGCCCUUUCAGCACUGCCCCCCACCAAAAGAAAAGGACAAAGAAGGUCCCUGUGGAGAACUGUGAAAUUUGUGUGGGAGAGAAAAGACUGGGAACCUGUGGUAUCUAGUCAGCAAGUUGCCAUCUUUUCAGAUCCUCCUCAAGAUUCUAGGAUCCAAUUAAUAGAUCUCCUCCAGGGAGUCCUCACAGAGGAGCCCAGUGCCAAAUUUGACCUACUGCCUUGAUUUUUUUUUCCUGCCACUGCAGACUAAGAAUAGUUUUUAUACUUUCAAAUGCUUACAAAAAAAAAAAAAAAAAAAACUAAAAGAAGAAGAAUGAUGUGAAAAAUUAU
rnacentral:lncRNA from 1 species